rnacentral:rRNA from 1 species
CCUACGGGGGGCAGCAGUGAGGAAUAUUGGUCAAUGGGCGGGAGCCUGAACCAGCCAAGUAGCGUGAAGGAUGACAGCCCUAUGGGUGUUAAACUUCUUUUAUAAGGGAAUAAAGUGCCCCACGUGUGGGGUUUUGUAUGUACCUUAUGUAUAAGCAUCGGCUAAUUCCGUGCCAGCAGCCGCGGUAAUACGGGAGAUGCGAGCGUUAUCCGGAUUUAUUGGGUUAAAGGGGAGCGUAGGCGGUUCCAUAAGUCAGCGGUAAGAUCGGGCGGCUCAACCGUACCGUGCCGUUGAAACUGGGGGACUUGAGUAUGCGCAAGGUACAUGGAAUUCGUGGUGUAGGGGUGAAAUGCGUAGAUAUCACGAAGAACUCCGGUCGCGAAGGCGUUGUACCGGAGCAAGACUGACGCUGAGGCUCGAAAGUGCGGGUAUCAAACAGGAUUAGAUACCCUGGUAGUC